UACGAAGGGGGCUAGCGUUGUUCGGAAUUACUGGGCGUAAAGGGCGCGUAGGCGGUUGUCCAAGUCAGGUGUGAAAGCCCAGGGCUCAACCCUGGAUGUGCACUUGAGACUGGGCGGCUUGGGUUCGGGAGAGGAUGGUGGAAUUCCCAGUGUAGAGGUGAAAUUCGUAGAUAUUGGGAAGAACACCGGUGGCGAAGGCGGCCAUCUGGACCGAUACCGACGCUGAGGCGCGAAAGCGUGGGGAGCAAACAGGG
rnacentral:rRNA from 1 species